rnacentral:rRNA from 1 species
GAUGAACGCUGGCGGCGUGCCUAAUACAUGCAAGUCGAGCGAACAGACGAGGAGCUUGCUCCUCUGACGUUAGCGGCGGACGGGUGAGUAACACGUGGAUAACCUACCUAUAAGACUGGGAUAACUUCGGGAAACCGGAGCUAAUACCGGAUAAUAUAUUGAACCGCAUGGUUCAAUAGUGAAAGACGGUUUUGCUGUCACUUAUAGAUGGAUCCGCGCCGCAUUAGCUAGUUGGUAAGGUAACGGCUUACCAAGGCAACGAUGCGUAGCCGACCUGAGAGGGUGAACCGCCACACUGGAAAUGAGACACGGUCCAGACUCCUACGGGAAGCAGCCAUAGGGAAUCUUCCGCAAUGGGCGAAAGCCUGACGGAGCAACGCCGCGUGAGUGAUGAAGGUCUUCGGAUCGUAAAACUCUGUUAUUAGGGAAGAACAAAUGUGUAAGUAACUAUGCACGUCUUGACGGUACCUAAUCAGAAAGCCACGGCUAACUACGUG